ACAAGUACAAAAAUUUAACAUUUAAAAUUUAAAAACUAGAGUAAUCUAUAAAAAGAAGUUAUUUAAAUUCAAACCAAUUAGGUGCCAGCAGUUGCGGUUAAACCUAGAGUUAGUUAACUAUAUAUUUAAAUGCAUUAUGUUGAUUGUUAUAAGAUACUAAUAAAACAAAUUAUAAAUAGGUAAAAUUUUUAAAAUUUGAUAAAUCUUACCAAUAAAGAUUCAAGUUUCUUUUGAAAACUAGGAUUAGAUACCCUAUUAUUUAGAAUAACCAUAAUUAAAGUAGUAAAAGAAAAUCUUCAAACUUAAAAAAUUUGGCGGUAGUUUAACCCAACUAGAGGAAUCUGCUCUAUAAUUGCCAAUCCACAAUCUGUUAUAUUUUAUCUAAAUAUAUUUAUAUAUCGCUGUUAAAUAUAAAUUCAGAAAUACUAUUUAAAAUUUACUUAAACUCAGAAAAUCAAGUCAACACAUAAUUUUUAAAAAUGAAGUGGAUUACAUUUAAAUUAGAUUAAUGGAUAACCCCGUAAAGAAGGUUUAUAAAAAGGAUUUAGAAGUAAAUUGAAAUAAAGUUUUUUGAUUAAAUUUGAUAUAAACUAUGUACAAAUCGCCCGUCAUUCUUAUUUAAAUUAAGACAAGUCGUAACAAAGUAAGAUUACUGGAAAGUAAUAUUAGAU
rnacentral:rRNA from 1 species